UACAAAGGGGGCUAGCGUUGUUCGGAAUUACUGGGCGUAAAGCGCACGUAGGCGGACAUUUAAGUCAGGGGUGAAAUCCUGGAGCUCAACUCCAGAACUGCCUUUGAUACUGAGGAUCUCGAGUCCGGGAGAGGUGAGUGGAACUCCGAGUGUAGAGGUGAAAUUCGUAGAUAUUCGGAAGAACACCAGUGGCGAAGGCGGCUCACUGGCCCGGUACUGACGCUGAGGUGCGAAAGCGUGGGGAGCAAACAGG
rnacentral:rRNA from 1 species